rnacentral:lncRNA from 1 species
AUUUCUUUCCAAUCUCUCACAUCAUGAAAUCUAGGGAAAUACUACUCAUUCCUUUCCUCUCUUCUCAAAUUCUCACUCUCUUGCCCUAUUUCAGAGCCUCAUUGUCUCCAGCAUGAAUUGAUGCUCCAGUUUUCUCAUUGGGUCCCCUGUUUCCUCUAUCGUCCUCUUACAGACCCGUUUAUCCUCCGCACCCACCAGCUGAUUGGAAAGGGAAGAUUCUCUGAGUUACUGAAGAAGAGACACAAAAGAAUCCUGUUUCCUUACAAUGGGAUGGGGGCACUAGGAGGAAUUAUUAUUGAGUGUCAAUCAUCAUGGUUCAAUACAAAGUGAUGGUUACCAAAUGGAGAUGCAUAAAGUUAUGAAAUGGAAAGACUAGGUGAAGUUUAAGAAGCAAAGACGUUGGAAUGGAAUGAUAGGUGUUUGAGUUGGACUGGGCUUCUCCGACACGUCAUCUCUAAAAUGUGGAUAAAAAUGGACACUUUCAGGACUUCUGGAACCAUGAAGAGUG